UAAUUUUUUGUUCAAACUAAUUUGAUGUAAAAUAAAAGAUUAUAAUUACUUAUAAAUAUAAUAAUUGUAUAAAGAAACACGUGGGGUUAUGAACACAAAUUAUGAACAGGAACAAUAUAUAAACAUGUUCAAUAUAUGAAAAUCAUGAAUAAUAUAUAAAAUGAUAAUAAUUGUUAAGAAAAUUUCUUACAAAAGGAUGAUCAAAAGAUGCUUUGAUAUUUUUUAUAGGUUAAAAUAAACAUUAUUUUCUUUUCCUUGAUUAUAUGAUCUUAGAAAAAACAUAUAUUAUGUUAAACAUGUAUUUUCUUCGACGUAUAUCAGUGCGAUUUUUUUCAUCCAAGCCAAAUGUAAAGCUUGAAGACGAUUUAAAUAAUUUGUUAGAUCAAAAAUUAUUAAAGCAUCGACAUCAUCCUGGAAUCAUAAAUCCACGAUUUGUUGAAGUACCCAAUUGGAUUAAGGAUUCAAUUAAAAUAGUUUUAGAUGAUUCCAAUAUUUCUAACGAAUAUUUAUGGAAAGGUGGACAAAAAUUGAUGCAACAUUUACUCGGUAGACAUAUAACAAUCAAACAACCAGUUGUACCGAAUGAAGAAAAAAGAAUAUAUGAUUCUAUGAAUCCUACAAAAUUAUAUGAAAUAGUUGAUGAUACUAAUAUUAAUAAUGAUAAUACGAAUAAUGAUUUUAAAUUGGAGUAUCAUGAAAAAGAAAAAUCACAUCAUUCAUCUAAUAUCCCUCUCAAUUAUAACAGACAAAGUUGUUUGUUAUAUUUAGUUGGUAGAAGUCAAUUUGAAUAUUCUGUUGUAUAUAGGAUUUUGAAUCAAAUUAAAACGAAGGAUGUCGAUUUUAAACCAAAAACUUUAUUUGAUUUUGGAUCUGGAGUUGGAACAGUUAUGUGGGCAUCGUCACAACUUUGGUCCGAUUCUUUGAUAGAAUAUUUUGGUGUAGAUACUUCUUCUCAUAUGAAUGAUUUAUCCGCAGAAUUAAAUAACCAUAACACUCAUCCUAUCAAAAACGUAUUCUACAGACAGUUCUUUCCUGCGACUCCUGUGCCUCUUUAUGAUAUUGUUGUUAGUUCAUUUUCUUUAUUGGAAUUACCUGACAUUGAGAAACGUUUCGAUAUUGUACAAAAGCUUUGGGCUAAAACACAAAAUUAUCUUGUUAUUAUUGAAGAUGGAACAAAUGCUGGAUUUGCAGCAGUAAAUGAAGCACGUGAUAUUUUACUCUACAAUCCUUCGCAGUCAGAUAAUAAAAAUGAUAAUAAUAUUCAUGUUUGUGCACCUUGUCCUCAUGAUAUGAAAUGCCCGAGAUAUCACACGGAUAAUACUCCUUGUAAUUUUGACAUUUCUUAUUACACAUUACCAGUGUCAGGAACUUCUUGUUUAAAAAAGAAUCGUUUUUCUUACGUCGUAUUGAAGAAAGGUGCACGAUCAGAUAGCGAUAAACAAUGGCCGCGUAUUGUACGGCCAGUAUUAAAACGAUCCAGGCAUGUAGUAUGUCGUACAUGCACAGCUAAUGGGAAAUUAGAAGAGAUCAUUUUCACUACAUUCAAAUAUGGAAAAAAUGCAUAUCGUUGUGCAAGAGUGAGCAAGUGGGGAGAUUUGUUACCAAUAGAAAUCAGUAAAGAUAACGCGAGUUAAUAGACUUUAUUAUUUACUAUUGAAAUAAUAAAUGUAACAAACUUACAGAAAAAAAAUGUUCAAUGUUUUAAAAAAUGUUUACUUAUUUUAACAGUUUAAUGAAAUGAUAGAAGAUUUAUAUAUGGAUUAGAUUCUAGAAGUAACCAAUACUUUAAAUGGUUUUAGACCAAUAGUUGCACCAUCAACAAUAUCUAAU
rnacentral:misc_RNA from 1 species